UUUUGCGCGAUAUCUAUCCCUAAUGGUUAACCAUUUUAGGGGAAAGUUUAGGGGAAGAUUUGGUAAUGAAGCAACUUGAGGUUACAAGUGUUUUCUUGCAUGUUAUUACACCAUUACAAUUGUGAUUUGGUUCAUUUUUCAACAAUUAAUUGUUUAUUUUUAAUUGUUGAACAUUUUUCUGUUUAAUAUGUUUAUUGAUCUUCUACGAAACUGAUGGGCCCACAAAAGGGAAAAGGUUGAAUACUAAGUGAUGGUUCUUGGAAACCAUCAAUGUUUAUCAUUGUGUUAAUGAUUGUGAACUUAUCAUCAGGAGAUACCAUUGAACAAAUUAUGGCAAAAUAAAAUACAAUGUAAAGGCAAUUACAUUAUUAUCACUGACUCAAUCAAAAUGGGCUCAUUUUCCGACAUCACUUUAUUAGCACUUUUUUGGUAGUUAAAUCAUGUAUUUUAUGAAUUAGAUCUGGUUUGACCUCAACAAUUGGUCACAAAUAUUAUUCAUAUUCAAUAUAUUACAUGUCGCUCACUUCAAAGCUUCCAGCUAUUGCUUACGAUACAGUUUCCCUGCAGUUUCGUUGACUUAUUUUGAACUCUAGCAUGUUGCAGCUUACUUCUGGUUUCCCUUUAUUUUUCAUUGUCAACCAUUACUAUGGCUAAUUAUCAGCUGAGUUGCAUCAGUUUAUUACUAUUUACCUUGACAUACAACAAUUACGGCAAAUUUUAUCAACUAUUUAUUGUAUUUUUUAAUAACCAACGCAAUAGAAAUGCUCUUUCCUUUGAAUUUACAUUAGACAGUUAACGAUACUGCUGGUGGUAAUUUAAUCUUGACAAUAGAAAAUUCAACAUUUAAUCAAACUGCAUUGUUGAUAUAUCAACAAUUAUUAUGUCAAUCAUUAAAUUAUCGAGAAGCAUCGAUUCAAUUUAUGCCAUCGCCAUAUGUGUUUGCAUCAGAAACUCAACCAUUUAUAACAUAUCUUCAUCAUCCUGAAAGGUGAAAGACUUUACAUUGAAGUGUCCAAAACGCGUUGUGAUUAGAAUGGAAUUUUGAGCUAAUUUAAAUGGAUAAAGAUCAUUGUAUGCCAUUGAUUGUUGGAGAUCAAGUUUAUCGUUUAUGUAAUAGCUUAUCAUUUGCCUUACCAAUAUUUUCUGCAUAAGGAUAAAUCAAAGUCACAAACAAUGGAUAUUUAUUAUCAAGUAGUACAUUGGCAUCUGAUUUUGGAUCGAUCCACUUUUGAGUAAUCAUUAAAUUAAAGAGAUUUCUCAAUUUGGUUAACACCUGAAUAACUUAUAAGACAUUUAAUUAUCAAGUAUCUACAAUUAAUUAUGAGUGGCACAGUUGAUUAAAGAGGAACAGCAUUAUGCAGCAUUAUGGAAAUCGCUUUAUAAGGAUCUCUCUCACAAAGAUAGCUUAAGAGUUGGCAAGGUUAAGAUUAUAACAAAUCAUCUAAAUUUGAUUUUCGAUGAAUAAUCUUGAAGGAAUUAUAAAAUGUCAAGCAUAAUUUAAAGGCAAAGCCCUUCACAUAAUAAAACAGAAUCAGGAAUCGGCGAGACCCAGAUUCCUUCCAUAAAUGAACUUGUAUCCUGUUGCAAUAUAAAUCUUUAUGGACCUAAUUAGUUGAUACAAAAUUCAAAAUUGUUUUUAUUUUCCCAUUGUAAUGACAAUUUUGACAACAGGUGGCGUUUAAUUUACGAUAAUGAAAGCAUCGCAUUUAGAUGCCCAUUUCAGAACAUUGUUUCAAGUUUAAAUUAAUUACCAUCAACUGAUUGUUUCAUGUAUGUGUACUAACUAGCGAUUGAAAACUCAAUUCACUCAAUGACUAAAACAGUUGCCUCAAUUUUUCCUCAUUUUUCUGUUGUGUUAAUACUGGAAUAAGGUGGAUACCAGAAAAACACUGCUUCUGUAUGGAUCUUUAUGUUUAUGAUAUUUGUGUACUACAUGGUGACAUGGACUGGUAAAAUAUACCAAACGAUAUGAGAAUAGAUAUUCUGUUCUACGUCAGAUGUGUGAAUGUGUGAAUUAUGUGAAUAAUAGACCCAGGAAUGUUUACCACCUUUGGUCAAUUCUUUGCUGAAUCUUUGGAAACCGAUGAGGACAACGUUGAAACACAGUUAAUCUUUAUAAUUCAUUGUACGCUAAUGAAACUACAAGGUUGAGCUCCCCAGGUUUGUUUGGUAACCAGGGGUGGAUUCACCAAUGUUGGUUCUACAUGGCACUUGAACAUACUCAAGCUAUGUAUUACCUCAUGCUGGGUUGAACAAUGAAUCAUUGACGAUUCUUUCUUGCCAGAUGAUUUAAACUAGUUUUUUAUGUUGAUUCAAUUCAAUCGAAUCAGUUUCCACUGAGAAACGUUUUUACGAAAAUGUAUCUGCUAUUCAUUGGACUCAUCAAAUUUUGCAAUCUAAUCGCCGUUGGUAUGACCAAUAUAAACUUAAUUCUGCAUUAAACGGUGAACAAGUAACAAACGAAAUUCACAAUGAUACAGGCAUCAUGAUCCAUCUAAAUAAACAAAUCGGAUUAAUACAAUGAUGUGGCAUACUGAUGGAUUUGUGCUAUUAUUUUAUGUGUUUCUCAUAGUUUUAAAUAUGAUUGGAACUUGAACUUCACAAUUUUUAAAGUGCUAAAAUAAUGGUUGAAUUGGCGAUAAAAGGUAGUUAGCUGCUUUUUGCAUGAGAUCAAUAAUUUAUUAACAUUCCAAGAAUAUUGAAACUCGAUUAAAGUACUGAUGUCAUUAUCUUGCAUGUCCUAACUUGCAUGGGUGUUUAAUAUGCUUACUAAUGUCUAUGCAUGGCUAAUGAGGACCAUAGAAGCAUCAGAAAUUAUACAUUGUAAGUAUAAAUAGAUUAACGUUAACACGAUUUCUGUAUUUUUUUACAGGUGAUGAAUGAAAUUGAUUAAAUAACAGAUGACGUUUUAAAGUAUAUGUAUAUAUAAUGGACGAUGACAAUUUUGAAUGAAGUUUGGGUUGAUAAUAAAGGAAGUUAAAACAACCGA